rnacentral:rRNA from 1 species
UACGUAGGGUGCUAGCGUUGUCCGGAUUUAUUGGGCGUAAAGAGCUCGUAGGCGGCUUGUUGCGUCAGCUGUGAAAACCCGCAGCUCAACUGUGGGCUUGCAGCUGAUACGGGCAGGCUUGAGUUCGGUAGGGGAGACUGGAAUUUCCGGUGUAGCGGUGAAAUGCGUAGAUAUCGGAAGGAACACCAGUGGCGAAAGCGGCUUCCUGGUCCAGCACCGACGUUCAGGCACGAAAGCGUGGGGAGCAAACAGG